rnacentral:lncRNA from 1 species
CACUUCGAAUUUCUUUUUGUUUCAAAAAAGUGAUUAGUCCUUGAUGAAUUAUUAAAUACGGUUCUGGAACUGCUAUUCCGCAGAUUUAAAUCGAUAACUUGUCGGCCAUUUUUUGUCGCCACCAACAACAAGUUUGACGUAUUUACCUGAAAGUUUUUAACAACUCGCAUAUCGAUUUCAGGAAAAAAACUACCAUUUAAGUUUUGUGUCCGGGUGUGAGGGUCAAGGAAAAGAAGUCCUUUUUACACACAACGAUAAAAAUAUUAAAACGUUCUUAAGAGUUAUUCAUUUUGGGAGGUUUUGAAAACAAACAUACUUUAACAAUGGCUGGUACGGAGAAUUGCAAGACCAAAAUUUAUCCGAAGCAUGAAGCAUCAAAGUUUGCAGUUUUUUUUAGAUUUAAAAAUUAAACAGGACGAGACUGAGAAAUCAAAUUUUAUAGACUGAUAUAGCAACCAUUGAAAUAAAUCAUAUUAGUCACUCUGGUACCUGGCUACGUUUG